rnacentral:rRNA from 1 species
GAUGAACGCUAGCGGCAGGCUUAAUUCAUGCAAGUCGUGGGGCAGCAUGAGUAGCAAUACUUGAUGGCGACCGGCAAACGGGUGAGGAACACGUACACAACCUUCCUUCAAGCGGGGAAUAGCCCAGAGAAAUUUGGAUUAAUACCCCAUAAUAUAUUUGAUAAGGCAUCUUAUUAAUAUUAAAGCUUCGGCACUUGAUGAUGGGUGUGCGGCUGAUUAGAUAGUUGGCGGGGUAACGGGCCCACCAAGUCUACGAUCAGUAGCUGAUGUGAGAGCAUGAUCAGCCACACGGGCACUGAGACACGGGCCCGGACUCCUACGGGA